rnacentral:misc_RNA from 1 species
GAAAUGCGAUAAGUAAUGUGAAUUGCAGAAUUCAGUGAAUCAUCGAAUCUUUGAACGCACAUUGCGCCCGCCAGUAUUCUGGCGGGCAUGCCUGUUCGAGCGUCAUUUCAACCAUCAAGCCCCCGGCUUGUGUUGGGGACCUGCGGCUGCCGCAGGCCCUGAAAAGCAGUGGCGGGCUCGCUGUCACACCGAGCGUAGUAGCAUACAUCUCGCUCUGGGCGUGCUGCGGGUUCCGGCCGUAAAACCACCUUCAUAACCCAAGGUUGACCUCGGAUCAGGUAGGAAGACCCGCUGAACUUAA